UGGGCUGCAAAUAAAUACAGAAGUCCGAGGUUACACCCGACACACAUUCGGGAGCAGGGGAGAGAACUCUCACUUGAGCAGUCUUUGGACCCCAAGUGUUUAUCUUCCAUAAGUUGAACAUCCUGUUUUCAACUGCCCGCUUUCUGGUUCUGGCUACGGUUUUUCUCAAAGUCCAGGAAGAGUUCAGAUUGUACGUCACAGAUUUCCUUCUCCAGGCUGAGACCGGAUCUGUAAAGUCGGUACUUUGCGGCGGCUCUUCGGUCUCACCCCGUAUGGCGUUUUGGUGACCAAAACGGAGUGAGCUGCCAAAAUUCCAUGUCUGUUUUCACAGCCAAUUCAUUUAAUUACAUAGCGACCAGCUAGGCAAGCAGUUUUCACAUAAGGAGCAGUGGGUGGGGUGGGGGGGAAGAGAAACAGAUGGCCUGGAUCUCUUAAUCGCAGUUCUGCCCCUGCACUGAUUGACAACUUCUCUUCCCCAAGACAAGAGCGGUCUUGGUCAAGAGAGCCCGGGAGGAGAAUGCCGCCUUACUGAGAGAACGCUCACGAGGACCAAGUGCUGCUGUAAUUCCAGCACAUCUACCCAGAUCCAGAAUCACUAAGCCGUCGGUUGUGGAGAAAGCUUAAUAAUGACAAGGGCGCCAGUGGACUCCACAAGCCUUCAUUCCUCGGCUGCUUAAGAGAUAUCCUGCCGCUAAACAGCUUUCAUUCUUUGCCCAGUGAUGUGAAGGGGAAAAAGCACAUACCUGAAAAUCCGACCUCGUUUCUUCGGUCUUCAUGUGAACUAAGUGCUGAUUUACUACACUUCUUUCUUGCUUCACACGUUCUGCUCUUGCUUCUGUGGGUUCAUCUGUAAGUCUUACCUGCGAAGGAAAUCGGAAAGCCAUCGAUCAGGUGAGAUGCCUCCUCUGUUCUUCAAAGGACAGAGGGAAUAGCAAAACUGAGUUUUGUAGGGGUUGGGUUCUUCGAUGUACCGCCAUUAUAAAGGGAAAGUUGCUGGGGUUAAUCAAUUACAAGAAAUCACUACCAAAUGCUUCCUCGUGAAUGGGAUCAGCUCCUGCUACCGUUAGACUGUUACAUAAACAGUUCUUGAAAGGCCACUCUACCGGGGGAAAAAACAGAGACUCCUAAAGGAUCCUGCAAUCCCCGAACCAUAAACGGGUACAGAUGAGGCAGCGACCUUUCUGCUUGGCCUCACGACACCCGACCUCCUUGACUGGCCCACUCCAAGAGUUCGAUUGAGUUUCUUAAAUUUUAGAGGGCCAGGUUCCCGUUCCUUUGGACCCAGCUGAAGCAGGUGGGUCACUGGAAUAAACUCUGAAUUGCA